AAUGACUCUCGACAACGGAUAUCUCGGCUCUCGCAUCGAUGAAGAACGUAGCGAAAUGCGAUACUUGGUGUGAAUUGCAGAAUCCCGUGAACCAUCAAGUCUUUGAACGCAAGUUGCGCUCGAAGCCAUUAGGCCGAGAGCACGCCUGCCUGGGUGUCACGC
rnacentral:rRNA from 1 species